rnacentral:rRNA from 1 species
GAGUUUGAUCCUGGCUCAGGAUGAACGCUGGCGGCAUGCCUAAUACAUGCAAGUCGAACGAGGGUCCUUCGGGACUCGAGUGGCGAACGGGUGAGUAACACGUAGGGAACCUGCCCGUGCGACCGGGAGAACUUUCGGAAACGGAAGCUGAUACCGGAUAGGGACAGAGACGGCAUCGACUCUGUGUUAAAGGAGCUGAAAGGCUCCGCGCACGGAUGGACCUGCGGUGCAUUAGCUAGUUGGUGAGGUAACGGCCCACCAAGGCGACGAUGCAUAGCCGGCCUGAGAGGGCGGACGGCCACACUGGGACUGAGACACGGCCCAGACUCCUACGGGAGGCAGCAGUAGGGAAUUUUCGUCAAUGGGCGCAAGCCUGAACGAGCAAUGCCGCGUGAACGAGGAAGGUCUUCGGAUCGUAAAGUUCUGUUGAAGGGGAAAAAGAGCGGAGAGAGGAAAUGGUCUCCGAUUGAUAUUACCCUUCGAGGAAGUCACGGCUAACUACGUGCCAGCAGCCGCGGUAAUACGUAGGUGGCGAGCGUUAUCCGGAAUGAUUGGGCGUAAAGGGUGCGUAGGCGGCCUGCUAAGUCUGGAGUGAAAGGUACCGGCUCAACCGGUACAGGCUCUGGAAACUGGCGGGCUAGAGAGCAGGAGAGGGCGGUGGAACUCCAUGUGUAGCGGUAAAAUGCGUAGAUAUAUGGAAGAACACCAGUGGCGAAGGCGGCCGCCUGGCCUGUUACUGACGCUGAGGCACGAAAGCGUGGGGAGCAAAUAGGAUUAGAUACCCUAGUAGUCCACGCCGUAAACGAUGAGGACCAAGUGUUGGGGAAGACCCAGUGCUGCAGUUAACGCAGUGAGUCCUCCGCCUGGGGAGUAUGCACGCAAGUGUGAAACUCAAAGGAAUUGACGGGGGCCCGCACAAGCGGUGGAGUAUGUGGUUUAAUUCGAAGCAACGCGAAGAACCUUACCAGGCCUUGACAUAGGGUGCGAAGCUAUGGAGACAUAGUGGAGGUAAACAUCCAUACAGGUGGUGCAUGGUUGUCGUCAGCUCGUGUCGUGAGAUGUUCAGUUAAGUCUGGCAACGAGCGCAACCCUCGUGAUGUGUUACCAAUAUCGAGUUAGGGACUCACAUCAGACUGCCGGUGAGAAACCGGAGGAAGGCGGGGAUGACGUCAAAUCAUCAUGCCCCUUAUGGCCUGGGCUACACACGUACUACAAUGGCGGCGACAGAGGGCAGCGAGCCUGCGAAGGCAAGCGAAUCCCCAAAAAGCCGUCCCAGUUCGGAUUGGAGUCUGCAACCCGACUCCAUGAAGUUGGAAUCGCUAGUAAUCGCGGAUCAGCAUGCCGCGGUGAAUACGUUCUCGGGCCUUGCACACACCGCCCGUCAA